GAUGAACGCUGGCGGCGUGCCUAAUACAUGCAAGUCGAGCGAACCACUUCAGUGGUGAGCGGCGAACGGGUGAGUAACACGUAGGUGAUCUGCCCAUCAGACGGGGACAACGAUUGGAAACGAUCGCUAAUACCGGAUAGGACGAAAGUUUAAAGGUGCUUCUGGCACCGCUGAUGGAUGAGCCUGAGGCGCAUUAGCUAGUGGGUAGGGUAAAGGCCUACCAAGGCGACGAUGCGUAGCCGACCUGAGAGGGUGAACGGCCACACUGGGACUGAGACACGGCCCAGACUCCUACGGGAGGCAGCAGUAGGGAAUCUUCGGCAAUGGGCGAAAGCCUGACCGAGCAACGCCGCGUGAAUGAUGAAGGCCUUCGGGUUGUAAAAUUCUGUUAUAAGGGAAGAACGACUUUAGUAGGAAAUGGCUAGAGUGUGACGGUACCUUAUGAGAAAGCCACGGCUAACUACGUGCCAGCCGCCGCGGUAA
rnacentral:rRNA from 1 species